GGAUUAUUUAAGGAAGCACACAUUCCCUGGCAGUCAUCUGUUUAACUAGCUGUUAACAGGGAGCAGAUCUCUUCUGAAGAAACUACAGCAACUUGUUGCUCACAACUGUCCUAUUCCAGAUCUUCUAGUUUGUGUGCUCUGACCGUGAAAGAGAACAUGGGGAACGACAACUCAAACACCCACGUGGCCAAUGCAACCGGGAAGCCACUUCGGAUUUAUUAUCAUGUGGAGAGGAUGAGGCUUAAUGAAUUGGUGGUGGAAGGGGGGGCUGAGAUCGGAGGUUCGGUAUCAGACUCUGGUGCAUCGUUGAGUGGGAAAAUUUCCAGUAAUGUGAAGAGUGUUUUUAAACCUGACUCCCGGAUCCGCUACAUACGAUUGCCAGCCAACGACUACUGUAAAUUUAGUGGGGAAGGGGAGCUCUUUGUCUGUGUCUUUGUGGAAGAUAAUCACAAUGAAAAAUCCUGUGUUGAUACAAUCUCCAUCAAUUUCCAUGUCCCCAGUGACAGGUCUUUCAUUGUGACGGCCAACCACAACAUCAAGUUCCAAAAGUAUGGUGCUGGUUUAUGGAUCGAUGAUCUAGGCUAUGACCAUCGCAACUAACAUUCCUCACAAGACCAAAGCCCUGAUCUGUAAACAAUCAACAAAAGAUAUGAAUCCUUCAGGGAUAAGAAAUUAGGAGUGCACCAGGUUGUGCCUACUGCUGAAUCAAAAGUAAAGAAAACCUGGUUCCUCUAAGUUUAGAAAAUAUUUCCAGAAACAAAUAAAAUAAGACAUAAACAAUUGUACUGCACAGCAAUAAAUAGAGAUGCAUUGAUUCUUAAUUGCUUAAAAUCAUGAUAAUGAAAUAAAGAUGUGAAAUUUGCAA